rnacentral:rRNA from 1 species
GACGUUAGCUGCAGAAGAAGCACCGGCUAACUCCGUGCCAGCAGCCGCGGUAAUACGGAGGGUGCGAGCGUUUAAUCGGAAUUUACUGGGGCGUAAAAGCGCAUGCAGGUGGUUUGUUAAGUCAGAUGUGAAAGCCCCGGGGCUCAACCUCGGAAUUGCAUUUUGAAAACUGGCAAACUAGAGUACUGUAGAGGGGGUAGGAAUUUCAGGUGUAGCGGUGAAAUGCGUAGAGAUCUGAAGGAAUACCGGUGGCGAAGGCGGCCCCCUCGGACAGAUACUGACACUCAGAUGCGAAAGCGUGGGGAGCAAACAGGAUUAGAUACCCUGGUAG